AGUGAACGCUGGCGGUAGGCCUAACACAUGCAAGUCGAACGGCAGCACAGUAAGAGUUUGCUCUUACGGGUGGCGAGUGGCGGACGGGUGAGGAAUACAUCGGAAUCUACUUUUUCGUGGGGGAUAACGUAGGGAAACUUACGCUAAUACCGCAUACGACCUACGGGAGAAAGCAGGGGAUCUUCGGACCUUGCGCGAUUGAAUUAGCCGAUGUCGGAUUAGCUAGUUGGCGGGGUAAAGGCCCACCAAGGCGACGAUCCGUAGCUGGUCUGAGAGGAUGAUCAGCCACACUGGAACUGAGCCACGGUCCAGACUCCUACGGGAGGCAGCAGUGGGGAAUAUUGGCCAAUGGGCGCAAGCCUGAUCCAGCCAUACCGCGUGGGUGAAGAAGGCCUUCGGGUUGUAAAGCCCUUUUGUUGGGAAAGAAAAGCAGCGGGUUAAUAUCCCGCUGUUCUGACGGUACCCAAAGACUAAGCACCGGCUAACUUCGUG
rnacentral:rRNA from 1 species